rnacentral:lncRNA from 1 species
GUAAGCCGAGAUUGCACCAUUGCACUCCAGCCUAGGUAGCAGAACGAGACUCUGUCUCAAAAAAAGAAAGAAAAAAAGAAAAAAACAUUAGUCUAGAAUCAAGAGAUAGUCUGUGUAUUGCUUUUCAAGUCACUUAAACUCUCUGGGCCACAAUUUCUUCAUCUGUAUGAAGACUGCUGAAUUAGAAUAAAUGAUCUUUCUCAGUUUUAAAAUUCUGUGGCCACAUUCAAGUUGGAAUCAUUAUAUAUAACACAAGUAUUAUGAGAAAAUAUGUUUCAGAUUUCAGGAUGUCUGAAACAGAUCUAUUCCCAAAUCCAUGAAAGAAAGUAGAAACUUUAUUGCCACUAUUGUGACUCUACAGUGAAAGAUAACAAAAAAUGAAGCACACACUUAAUGCUCAAUCAAUAGGGGCUCUUCUCUGCUCUCUAGUAGUAGGAGUAGUUUCUUAAGUUGUGAGGUCCCUAGGAUUAGAGAUUCCAGCUGCAGGAUAAGAUUCUGGCUUCACCUAAAUAUACUUUGGCUUUGGUCUCCAAAAUUGUGUAUUAUGAAUUGAGGCGGAGGUUGCAGUGAGCCGAGAUCUCGCCAUUGCACUAACAGGCUCGGCUACAACAGCAAGACCCUCUCUCUCAAAAAAAAAAAAAAAAAAAAAAAAAAAAAAAAAAUGCUGGGCGCUGUGCCUCACGCCUGUAAUACCAGCACUUUGGGAGGCCGAGCCAGGUGUAUCACGAGGUCAGGAGUUCGAGACCAGCCUAACCAACAUGGUAAAACCCCGUCUCUACUAAAAAAAAAAAAAAUACAAAAAUUAUCCGGGCAUGGUGGCGCACGCCUGUAAUCCCAGCUACUCAAGAGGCUGAGGCAGGAGAAUCGCUUGAACCCGGGAGGC